rnacentral:misc_RNA from 1 species
AAGAGACGUUGCCCCUCGGGGUAUACCUCCCACCCUUUGUUUAUUAUACCUUUGUUGCUUUGGCGGGCCCGUCCUCGGACCACCGGCUUCUGCUGAUCAGUGCCCGCCAGAGGACCUAAAACUCUGUUUGUUAAUAUUGUCUGAGUACUAUAUAAUAGUUA